UACGAAGGGGGCUAGCGUUGCUCGGAAUUACUGGGCGUAAAGCGCACGUAGGCGGUCUUUUAAGUCGGGGGUGAAAUCCUGGAGCUCAACUCCAGAACUGCCUUCGAUACUGGAAGACUUGAGUCCGGGAGAGGUGAGUGGAACUGCGAGUGUAGAGGUGAAAUUCGUAGAUAUUCGCAAGAACACCAGUGGCGAAGGCGGCUCACUGGCCCGGUACUGACGCUGAGGUGCGAAAGCUGGGGGAGCAAACAGG
rnacentral:rRNA from 1 species